AUUGUGGAGUUGCAGAUGAAACAGCUUGACUGUGAACUAAUAAUUCGUAAAAAGGAGGCCUUGCCCCAACCACCAUCAGCUGCUCCUGUUGUUAUGAUGCAUUCCCCUCCCCCAGCAGCAGUUGCACCAGUAGGCCCACCUGCAGCUGUUCCUGCACCUUCUGCCCCAGCUUCUUCAGCCCCAACAACAGUACCUUCUGCACCUGCUGCCAAGUCAACCAAUUCAUCGCACCCACGUCUUAAAAGCCCCAUGGCAGGCACAUUCUACCGAAGCCCAGGACCC
rnacentral:lncRNA from 1 species